GUGUAUAACAGUGUGGGAAGCUGGAAUCUAGAGGAACGAUAGUGACUUCCUUUUCUAGCCAAACGGAGGAAGAGCAUGCCUGCUUCCCACGAUGCUUCCAGGUGGCUACCUUCCCAGCACCAGGGUAGCUAUGAAAGUGGGGGCCACGGAGAUUCCAGAGGAGCACCUUGCAGAUGUCCAGGCUGACAGCUGGACGCUUCCCGCCAGUGUCCUCCAGGGAAGGCUAGCCUCUGAAAUCCCUAGCACUGGCCAACAGAAAUAAAUUGGAUCUACUCCAAAGAUCAAUCACUUCUCGCUUUAGCGAGGGGGCUGGUUUACUGUUAAGUAAAUGUGGGAGUUUGGGAGAGUAAAAUAUCAUGCAUAAAGGCAUCUGAGUGGAAUAGAAUGGGCACAGAUGGGCUUUGGAAGCAGCAGAAAGCAGUGAGCUCAAAUCCAGUCUUCUCCACUUAUUAGUGAAAGUAUUUAUCAUUUGUUACAAAGGAGACAAAACGUUUUCACAGGCUUCUAAACGUUUUAGAAUUCCUAAAAAUGCCUUUCAUUCACUUCUGGAAUCUUAAAGUUCUUCUUGUGCACCCUUACCACUGCAAGAUUUUCAGCCUCUAAACUACUCUUCACGGUUACUCUCUAUACAAACCAUUUUGUUAUUACAUCCUGCCAAUUACCAUAUUUAGAAUUUUCUCUUUCCCAUGAUUAGAAAAAUUAGCUCAGUGAGGGCAAAAAGAAAAGACCAUGUCAUAUAUCUAUUGGAAAAAAAAUCCUGAGACUAGUUAAAUUUAACAAAGUGUUUUUCAACAAGGAAAAGGUUCUACAGC
rnacentral:lncRNA from 1 species